UAGUCUUCUCUCUCUCUCUCAAAACCCUAGUCCCCUCUCUUUCUAUCUCCUCGGCCCUCUGCUGCAACAGCAGGUAUCUCUCACUCCGCUCGAUCUACCGCACAUCAAGGAGCAUUCUACUGCAACAUCAGGUUUCUACUCUAGAUUGAAAGACGAAGCACGAUUUUUCAUACUUGACCAUCUUGAUGAUCUCAAGAAAGCCAAGAAGGAUGCUGCUCUUUCUAGUGAUGAAGUAAAGGUUAUGGCCUUUGAUGAGGAAAUUCAUCCAAUGGAGAUAUAUGUGGAUGAUGAGGCCAAGUUGACCCUGCAUGGUCUCGUACAGGUACUCGAUGGUUUCUGAAAUGUGCAUUGAGUUCUCUUAUUACCUUUUGUUUUCUUGUCUUUUUUGUAAUUGCUCCGCACUUCUUUUCUGACCAUAUAUGUGGAUGCUUGCUUCUGAGGUGGGAGUAACUAAUGUAUCUUUUCUUUUAUUUGCACAUAAAUGGUGAGCCUAUGGCAUGACUUGUCAUGAAAGUGUAUUAUUCUGUUUCUGCAAUUGGUUGAAAAAAAAAAACAACACUAAGAUAUGAUGGUUUUUAAUGGUUAUGGAUGAAAAACCUUGUUCAACAUACACAUAGUUGUGAUUUUUAUUUUUUUAUUUU